AUUGAACGCUGGCGGCAUGCUUUACACAUGCAAGUCGAACGGUAGAGGGGCAACCCUUGAGAGUGGCGAACGGGUGAGUAAUGCAUCGGAACGUGCCCAGUAGUGGGGGAUAGCCCGGCGAAAGCCGGAUUAAUACCGCAUGAGACCUGAGGGUGAAAGCGGGGGAUCGCAAGACCUCGCGCUAUUGGAGCGGCCGAUGUCAGAUUAGCUAGUUGGUGGGGUAAAGGCCUACCAAGGCGACGAUCUGUAGCUGGUCUGAGGGGACGACCAGCCACACUGGGACUGAGACACGGCCCAGAGUCCUACGGGAGGCAGCAGUGGGGAAUUUUGGACAAUGGGCGCAAGCCUGAGCCAGCAAUGCCGCGUGCAGGAAGAAGGCCUUUGGGUUGUAAACUGCUUUUGUCAGGGAAGAAAUCUUCUGGGUUAAUACCUCGGGAGGAUGACGGUACCUGAAGAAUAAGCACCGGCUAACUACGUGCCAGCCGCCGCAGUAAAAC
rnacentral:rRNA from 1 species